UACAGAGGUCUCAAGCGUUGUUCGGAUUCAUUGGGCGUAAAGGGUGCGUAGGUGGCCCGGUCAGUCUUUGGUGAAAGCGCGGGGCUCAACCCUGCGUCGGCCAGGGAUACUGCCGCGGCUCGAGCACUGUAGAGGCAGGCGGAAUUCCGGGUGUAGCGGUGGAAUGCGUAGAGAUCCGGAAGAACACCGGUGGCGAAGGCGGCCUGCUGGGCAGUUCCUGACGCUGAGGCACGAAGGCCAGGGGAGCAAACGGG
rnacentral:rRNA from 1 species